UGCUCGAUUAGGAUAAAGGCAGUCUGCCAGUUUUGUACUCUGGAGGUAUCCGUUCAAUUCGGAUAUUGAGCAA
rnacentral:tRNA from 1 species